AUUUAUAUAGUUUUAUAUAAAACAUUCCAUUUUCAAUGGGAAAAAGGAUUAAUAUCCUAUAAAUA
rnacentral:tRNA from 1 species